rnacentral:rRNA from 1 species
UACGUAGGGCGCAAGCGUUGUCCGGAAUUAUUGGGCGUAAAGAGCUCGUAGGCGGCCUGUUGCGUCCGCUGUGAAAUCCCGGGGCUCAACCCCGGGCCUGCAGUGGAUACGGGCUGGCUAGAGGCAGGCAGGGGAGAACGGAAUUCCUGGUGUAGCGGUGAAAUGCGCGGAUAUCAGGAGGAACACCGGUGGCGAAGGCGGUUCUCUGGGCCUGUACUGACGCUGAGGAGCGAAGGCGUGGGGAGCGAACAGG